CGAUUUCUGCUCGGCGCGUCAGGUCCUCAUAAUUCCCAGGGGCUACAAUUAUGCUCAAGGGAGCUGUCCCUGUCGGGAUCGUGGUCUCGAUAUAUGGCGCCCACCUGGAAAACCAGGUCCUUGAGAAUGUGUAAUGACCAACGGCCGUAGCGGGAUCGU
rnacentral:other from 1 species